AUUCGAGUAGUUUAAAAAAAACAUUAUAUUUUCAUUAUAAUAUUAGAAAAUUUUCUCUCAAAUU
rnacentral:tRNA from 1 species